AUGUCGCCGGAGGCGCUCUGCCUCUCCUAUGCACGCCCUGCUUCUAUCUCCACCGCUGCCCUCCCUUACCCCUCUGUAGUUCUUGGCACCACGGUUGUUGCCCCGCACUGGAUAGAUGCGCCGCUGUCGCUCUGUCGCCGCAUACAGAGAGUUCAACGCUGCAACCCCCGUCUGCUCAAUCUCACCGCCUGUGCUUCCGUGGCGAAACAGUGCAACCUGCAGGAGGAAUCGUGGGGGGUCGAGGACGUCCAGCUCGACAAUCCAACUCGGCAUGAUUCACGUCAUCGUUGGCCCCAUGUUCGCUGGCAAGACCACCGCGCUUCUCCGCCGGCACCGACAGCGCCAUGCUCAGUCCAACCGUGUGGCUUCGGGGUGGCCGAGUUCGUCGUGACCAUCAGUUCGGAGACCUGCGUCACUGCACGUGUCGCUACCAUGGCCCCCUGUGUCACUACGUGCUCCGUCAACAACCUCCUGCACAAGGAAAGGCAACAGGAGUAG
rnacentral:rRNA from 1 species